UACGAAGGGGGCUAGCGUUGCUCGGAAUCACUGGGCGUAAAGCGCACGUAGGCGGAUUUCUAAGUCGGGGGUGAAUCCUGGAGCUCAACUCCAGAACUGCCUUCGAUACUGGAAGUCUUGAGUCCGGGAGAGGUGAGUGGAACUGCGAGUGUAGAGGUGAAAUUCGUAGAUAUUCGCAAGAACACCGGUGGCGAAGGCGGUCUGCUGGGCCAAGACUGACGCUGAAGGCGCGACAGCGUGGGGAGCAAACAGG
rnacentral:rRNA from 1 species